AAAAAGCUCGUAGUUGGAUUUCUGUGUGGGUGAGGCGGCCGGCCACUCGUGGUUGUAGCUAGUUAUCACCUGUACAUCUUGUCACAAGCCACGCUGGUCUUAAUUGAUUGGCGCUGGGGACUGACUCGUUUACUUUGAGAAAAUUAGAGUGUUCAAAGCAGGCUAUCGCCUUGAAUAUAUUAGCAUGGAAUAAUGAUAUAGGACUUUGGUUCUAUUUUGUUGGUUGUUCGAGAACCGAAGUAAUGAUUGAUAGGGACAGUUGGGGGCGUCAGUAUUCUGAAGCGAGAGGUGAAAUUCUUGGACCUUCGGAAGACUAACAACUGCGAAAGCAUUCGCCUAGGAUGUUCUCUUUAAUCAAGAACGAAAGUUGGGGGAUCGAAGACGAUCAGAUACCGUCGUAGUCUCAACUAUAAACUAUGCCAGCUAGGGAUUGGUGGACGUUUAUCUACGACUCCAUCAGCACCUUAUGAGAAAUCAAAGCAUUUGGGUUCCGGGGGGAGUAUGGUCGCAAGGCUGAAACUUAAAGGAAUUGACGGGAGGGCACCACCAGGAGUGGAGCCUGUGGCUUA
rnacentral:rRNA from 1 species